rnacentral:rRNA from 1 species
GACGAACGCUGGCGGCGUGCCUAAUACAUGCAAGUCGAGCGGACAGAAGGGAGCUUGCUCCCGGAUGUUAGCGGCGGACGGGUGAGUAACACGUGGGUAACCUGCCUGUAAGACUGGGAUAACUCCGGGAAACCGGAGCUAAUACCGGAUAGUUCCUUGAACCGCAUGGUUCAAGGGUGAAAGACGGUUUCGGCUGUCACUUACCGAUGGACCCGCGGCGCAUUAGCUAGUUGGUGAGGUAACGGCUCACCAAGGCGACGAUGCGUAGCCGACCUGAGAGGGUGAUCGGCCAGACUGGGACUGAGACACGGCCCAGACUCCUACGGGAGGCAGCAGUAGGGAACCUUCCGCAAUGGACGAAAGUCUGACGGAGCAACGCCGCGUGAGUGAUGAAGGUUUUCGGAUCGUAAAGCUCUGUUGUUAGGGAAGAACAAGUGCAAGAGUAACUGCUUGCACCUUGACGGUACCUAACCAGAAAGCCACGGCUAACUACGUGCCAGCCGCCGCCGUAAUAC